rnacentral:rRNA from 1 species
ACGGGGUGCAGCAGGCGCGAAACCUCCACAAUGCGCGAAAGCGUGAUGGGGGAACCUCGAGUGUCCUUGUACAACAAGGGCUUUUGUAGUGUGUAAAAAGUAUUACGAAUAAGAGCUGGGUAAGACUGGUGCCAGCCUCCGCGGUAACACCAGCAGCUCGAGUGGUAGUCGUGUUUAUUGGGCUUAAAGCGUUUGUAGUCGUUUUAGUAAGUCCUCUGUGAAAUUCUAUGACUUAAUCAUAGAGCGUGCAGAGAAUACUGCUAGGAUAGGAGUCGGGAAGGGUCAGGGGUAUUUCUAGGGUAGCGGUGAAAUGUGAUAAUCCUAGAAGGACCACCAAUAGCGAAGGCACCUGACUGGAACGAGCUCGACGAUGAGGGACGAAAGCUAGGGGAGCAAACCGGAUUAGAUACCCGGGUAGUCCUAGCCGUAAACGAUGCGGGCUGAGUAUUUCUUAAACCUCGUGUUCAAGAAGUGCUGAAGGGAAACUGUUAAGCCCGCCGCCUGGGGAGUACGGUCGCAAGGCUGAAACUUAAAGGAAUUGGCGGGGGAGCAC